GAAAACCAAAGGCAACCAGUUUGAAUACAGACUCCAGGACAAAGAUAAUGGUGAAGAUGUAGUUACAGAUCUUCAAAGCCUCAUCCAGGACCUGGGAACAUUAGAGAUUAAGAUUAAACAUAGAACAUUACUUUAGAACAAUUAUAGAAUUGCCCUUUUGUGGAUACCAACUGAUAUUUGACCCAGUAAGCCUCACGUUUGCCCCUUGCUCCACCACAAAGAUUGGAGUGGAAAAUGGGAACUCACCACACAUAUCUGCCUGAGGUUUUUAAAAUUACGAGUUGUGGAUAUCGCUGGCUAGGCAGCAUUUCUUGCCCAUCCCUAAUUGCCCAGAGGGCGGUUAAGAGUCAAGCACAUUAAUGUGGGUUUGGAGUCAUAUGGAAGACAGACCAGACCAGCCCUGGAGCAUUGGCAACCCUAUUGAGGAUGGAAGUGGCAGCACCA